GGCUCAGGAUGAACGCUAGCGGCAGGCUUAACACAUGCAAGUCGAGGGGCAUCGGGAGUAGCAAUACUUGCCGGCGACCGGCGCAAGGGUGCGUAACGCGUGAGCAACAUGCCCGUAUCAGGGGGAUAAUCCAUGGAAACGUGGUCUAAUACCCCAUAGUAAUUAUGUAAGGCAUCUUAUAUAAUUUAAAGCUUUGGUGGAUACGGAUUGGCUCGCGUGACAUUAGCUGGAUGGUAAGGUAACGGCUUACCAUGGCUACGAUGUCUAGGGGUUCUGAGAGGAAGGUCCCCCACACUGGAACUGAGACACGGUCCAGACUCCUACGGGAGGCAGCAGUGAGGAAUAUUGGACAAUGGAUGGAAAUCUGAUCCAGCCAUGCCGCGUGCAAGGAAGACGGCCCUAUGGGUUGUAAACUGCUUUUGUAUGGGAGCAAUAAGGGCUACGUGUAGUCCGAUGAGAGUACCAUACGAAUAAGCACCGGCUAACUCCGUGCCAGCCGCCGC
rnacentral:rRNA from 1 species